UGCGAACGUUUGCGGCGGGCCUAACACAUGCAAGUCGAACGGUAGUCCCUUCGGGGAUGAGAGUGGCGCACGGGUGCGUAACACGUGGGUAAUCUGCCUUUUAGUUGGGGACAACCUUGGGAAACCAGGGCUAAUACCCGAUGAAACUCUUUUUGGUGCGCCAAGGGGAGGAAAAGACCCGCAAGGGUCGCUAAGAGAUGAGCUCGCGUCCCAUCAGCUAGUUGGUGAGGUAAUGGCUCACCAAGGCGAAGACGGGUAACUGGUCUGAGAGGAUGAUCAGUCACACUGGAACUGAGACACGGUCCAGACUCCUACGGGAGGCAGCAGUGGGGAAUAUUGCGCAAUGGGCGAAAGCCUGACGCAGCCACGCCGCGUGAGCGAUGAAGGUCUUCGGAUCGUAAAGUCUGUGGGGAGAGAAGAAGAGGCCAGGUGAAGAGCCUGGGAUGACGGUAUCUCCUUAGCAAGCACCGGCUAACUCCGUGCCAGCAGCCGCGGUAAUACGGAGGGUGCAAACGUUGCUCGGAAUUAUUGGGCGUAAAGCGCACGUAGGCGGUUUUGUAGGUUGGAUGUGAAAAUCCUGGGCUCAACCCUGGAAGUGCAUCCAAGACUGCAAGGCUGGAGUGCCGGAGGGGGCUCGGAGAAUUCCCGGUGUAGAGGUGAAAUUC
rnacentral:rRNA from 1 species